rnacentral:rRNA from 1 species
UGGGGAAUAUUGCACAAUGUGCGCAAGCCUGAUGCAGCCAUGCCGCGUGUGUGAAGAAGGCCUUCGGGUUGUAAAGCACUUUCAGCGGGGAGGAAGGCGAUAAGGUUAAUAACCUCAUCGAUUGACGUUACCCGCAGAAGAAGCACCGGCUAACUCCGUGCCAGCAGCCGCGGUAAUACGGAGGGUGCAAGCGUUAAUCGGAAUUACUGGGCGUAAAGCGCACGCAGGCGGUCUGUCAAGUCGGAUGUGAAAUCCCCGGGCUCAACCUGGGAACUGCAUUUGAAACUGGCAGGCUAGAGUCUUGUAGAGGGGGGUAGAAUUCCAGGUGUAGCGGUGAAAUGCGUAGAGAUCUGGAGGAAUACCGGUGGCGAAGGCGGCCCCCUGGACAAAGACUGACGCUAAGGUGCGAAAGCGUGGGGAGCAAACAGG